rnacentral:rRNA from 1 species
CAGUCGCCACGGUAAUACGAAGGGUGCAAGCGUUAAUCGGAAUUACUGGGCGUAAAGCGUGCGUAGGCGGUUUGUUAAGUCUGCUGUGAAAUCCCCGGGCUCAACCUGGGAAUGGCAGUGGAUACUGGCAAGCUAGAGUGUGUCAGAGGAUGGUGGAAUUCCCGGUGUAGCGGUGAAAUGCGUAGAGAUCGGGAGGAACAUCAGUGGCGAAGGCGGCCAUCUGGGACAACACUGACGCUGAGGCACGAAAGCGUGGGGAGCAAACAGGAUUAGAUACCCCGGUAGUCCCUGUCUCUUAUAA